rnacentral:rRNA from 1 species
CACGUAGGGCGCAAGCGUUGUCCGGAUUGAUUGGGCGUAAAGAGCGUGUAGGCGGCUUUACAGGUCCGUUGUGAAAACUCGAGGCUCAACCUCGAGACGCCGAUGGAAACCAUCUGACUAGAGUCCGGAAGAGGAGAGUGGAAUUCCUGGUGUAGCGGUGAAAUGCGCAGAUAUCAGGAAGAACACCCGUGGCUAAGGCGGCUCUCUAGUACGUGACUGACGCUGAGACGCGAAAGCGUGGGGAGCGAACAGG